GCUUUUGUACACACCGCCCGUCGCUACUACCGAUUGAAUGAUUUAGUGAGGUCUUCGGACUGGUACGCGGCAUCGACUCUGUCGUUGCCGAUGCUACCGGAAAGAUGACCAAACUUGAUCAUUUAGAGGAAGUAAAAGUCGUAACAAGGGUUCCGUAGGUGAACCUGCGGAAGGAUCAUUA
rnacentral:rRNA from 1 species